rnacentral:misc_RNA from 2 species
AACGCACAUUGCGCCCGCCAGCAUUCUGGCGGGCAUGCCUGUUCGAGCGUCAUUUCAACCCUCGCGCCCAUCUGGGCUGCGGCGUUGGGGACCGGCACAACCGCCUCGGCGGCGCCGCCCCCCAAAUAAAGUGGCGGUCUCGCUGCAGCCUCCCUUGCGUAGUAGCACACCUCGCACUGGAGAGCGGCGCGGCCACGCCGUAAAACCCCCGACCCCCUUGAGUUUGACCUCGGAUCAGGUAGGAAUACCCGCUGAACUUAA